UUUAAUGAGAGUUUGAUCCUGGCUCAGGACGAACGCUGGCGGCGUGCCUAAUACAUGCAAGUAGAACGCUGAAGGAGGAGCUUGCUUCUCUGGAUGAGUUGCGAACGGGUGAGUAACGCGUAGGUAACCUGCCUGGUAGCGGGGGAUAACUAUUGGAAACGAUAGCUAAUACCGCAUAAGAGUAGAUGUUGCAUGACAUUUGCUUAAAAGGUGCACUUGCAUCACUACCAGAUGGACCUGCGUUGUAUUAGCUAGUUGGUG
rnacentral:rRNA from 1 species